AUUGAACGCUGGCGGCAUGCUUUACACAUGCAAGUCGAACGGUAACAGGCCUUCGGGCGCUGACGGGUGGCGAACGGGUGAGUAAUGCAUCGGAACGUGCCCAGUCGUGGGGGAUAACGCAGCGAAAGCUGUGCUAAUACCGCAUACGAUCUAUGGAUGAAAGCGGGGGACCGUAAGGCCUCGCGCGAUUGGAGCGGCCGAUGUCAGAUUAGGUAGUUGGUGGGGUAAAGGCGCACCAAGCCAACGAUCUGUAGCUGGUCUGAGAGGACGACCAGCCACACUGGAACUGGGAAACGGUCCAGACUCCUACGGGAGGCAGCAGUGGGGAAUUUUGGACAAUGGGCGCAAGCCUGAUCCAGCAAUGCCGCGUGCAGGAAGAAGGCCUUCGGGUUGUAAACUGCUUUUGUACGGAACGAAACGGCGAGCUCUAAUACAGUUUGCUAAUGACGGUACCGUAAGAAUAAGCACCGGCUAACUACGUGCCAGCAGCCGCGGUAAGAC
rnacentral:rRNA from 1 species